CUUCAGAAUUGAAGCCAUCAUUCUGAUGGAAAUUAGACUUCCGUCACACAGGGUGAAAAAUUAUGAUAACCAAAAUAAUGGGGAGUAGCUUUGUGUGAAUUGAGAUCUACUUGAAGAAAUGCAUGAGAAAGCAAGGGUGUGAAUGAUGACGUAUCAACAAAGGAUGGCAUGAUACUACAAUUCCCAUGUUUGAAGUAAAGAAUUUAAAACUGGAGACCUAGUCUUAUAGCUGGCUGAAGUCUCCCAACCUGUGGAAUGUGAAAAGUUGAGUCCUAGUUGGGAAGGCUCCUAUCAAGUGGAUGAAAUCAUCAGAGCUGGCACUUAUCACCUUAAGCAGCU
rnacentral:lncRNA from 1 species